rnacentral:rRNA from 1 species
AUACGGAGGGUGCAAGCGUUAAUCGGAAUUACUGGGCGUAAAGCGUGCGUAGGUGGUUUGUUAAGUCAUAUGUGAGAGCCCCGGGCUCAACCUGGGAACUGCAUUUGAAACUGGCAUACUAGAGUAUAGGAGAGGAAAGUGGAAUUUCAGGUGUAGCGGUGAAAUGCGUAGAUAUCUGAAGGAACAUCAAUGGCGAAGGCAGCUUUCUGGACUAAUACUGACACUGAGGUACGAAAGCGUGGGUAGCAAACAGGAUUAGAAACCCUAGUAGUCC